rnacentral:rRNA from 1 species
AAUAAGCGGAGGAAAAGAAACUAACAAGGAUUCCCUCAGUAGCUGCGAGCGAACAGGGAGGAGCCCAGCACCGAAUCCUGCGCGUCUCGAGGCGCGUCUGGAAAUGUGGUGUGCGGGAGGAUCCGAUCAUCUCGUUCGGAAACGCCAGUCCAAGUCCAUCUUGAAAGCGGCCACAGCCCACAGAGGGUGCCAGGCCCGUAGGACGGUGCACGUUCCGAGCGAAAGGAUCUCUCCCCAGAGUCGGGUUGCUUGAGAGUGCAGCUCUAAGCGGGUGGUAAACUCCAUCUAAGGCUAAAUACGACCACAAGACCGAUAGCGAACAAGUACCGUGAGGGAAAGUUGAAAAGAACUUUGAAGAGAGAGUUCAAGAGUACGUGAAAACCGUUCAGGGGUAAACGGAUGAAAUUUGGAAAAUCGAAGUGAGAGAUUCAAGUCAAACGGCCGCGCGUUGUGGGGUGGCCCGCGAUGGCGGAUCGGGGCCCGCGCGGUGCAGCAAUGCCCGCCGGUGUCCUUCGGUCCGUCCACGUGCUGUCGUCGCUCCGCUCGCCGGUGUCUGGCCGCACUUUUCUCAUUGUAGUACGUCGCGACCCGUUGGGCGCGUGUCCAAGGCCCGCCACGGAGCCGGUUCGAGAUUUUGCGGCUUGGUCUCGGCCAUUGCCCUCGCUCGUCCGACCGGCGGUGUCCCGGCACGCAGGCUCGACGGUAGACAAAGUCGGAUCGAAAAGAACCCCACUCGUGGGGCGGCUCUUCGCGGGGCACGGUCCGCGUCAGCGACGCUCUAUCUAGAGCAUCAUCCGACCCGUCUUGAAACACGGACCAAGGAGUCUAACAUGUCGCGAGUCAUUGGGACCGCACAAACCUAAAGGCGUAACGAAAGUGAAGGCGGGCGUGUCGCGGCGCGCCCUCGCAGGCGCGCUCAGCGACCACCGCCGAGGGGAGAUGCGGCCCGUCCGCAGCGACGCGGCCGCCGCACCCCCGGGGCGUCUCGUUGUCAUUGCGACACAGCAGGCGCACCCAGAGCGUACACGUUGGGACCCGAAAGAUGGUGAACUAUGCCUGGCCAGGUCGAAGUCAGGGGAAACCCUGAUGGAGGACCGUAGCGAUUCUGACGUGCAAAUCGAUCGUCAGAGCUGGGUAUAGGGGCGAAAGACUAAUCGAACCAUCUAGUAGCUGGUUCCCUCCGAAGUUUCCCUCAGGAUAGCUGGUGCUCGGAGGCAUAUUGUGGAGCGGUUGCCGCGGUCGCAAGACCCGAGCCCGCACGUAACCAGUCUCAUCUGGUAAAGCGAAUGAUUAGAGGCCUUGGGGCCGAAACGACCUCAACCUAUUCUCAAACUUUAAAUGGGUGAGAAAUUCGACUUGCUCGAAUCAAUGAAGUCAAAUAAUGAAAAUGACCGGAUGAACGAGUGCCAAGUGGGCCAAUUUUGGUAAGCAGAACUGGUGCUGUGGGAUGAACCAAACGUCGAGUUAAGGCGCCUAAAUCGGUGCUCAUGGGAUACCAUGAAAGGCGUUGGUUGCUUAAGACAGCAGGACGGUGGCCAUGGAAGUUGGAAUCCGCUAAGGAGUGUGUAACAACUCACCUGCCGAAGCAACUAGCCCUGAAAAUGGAUGGCGCUCAAGCACCGUGCCUAUACUCGACCGUCGCCGACAAAAGGCGAGCGCCGCCGCCCGCGAGGGUGGGCGACGCCGCCACGAAGUCGCGACGAGUAGGAGGGUCGCGACGGUGAGCGCAGAAGUGUCGGUCGCGGGACCGCAUGGAGCCGCCGUCGGUGCAGAUCUUGGUGGUAGUAGCAAAUACACUAGCGAGGCCCUGGUGGACUGACGUGGAGAAGGGUUUCGUGUGAACAGCCGUUGCACACGAGUCAGUCGAUCCUAAGCCCCAGGAGAAAUCCGAUGUUGAUGUGCAGUCGAAUACAUAGUAUAUAUUGUAUGACCACAUCGGGCGAAAGGGAGUCCGGUUCCUAUUCCGGAACCCGGCAGCGGAACCGAUCACGCGGGCCAAUGUCGCGCAAGCGGCAACUCGUCGGGGUAACCCAAAGGGACCCGGAGACGCCGUCGGAUGAUCGAGGCAGAGUUUUCUGUUCUGUAUGAGCGUUCGAGUUCCCUGGAAUCGCCUAGCGCGGAGAUAGGGUUUGGAACGCGAAGAGCACCGCACUUGCGGCGGUGUCUCGAUCUAUCCCUCGGACCUUGAAAAUCCGGGAGAGGGCCACGUGGAGGUGUCGCGCCGGAUCGUACCCAUAUCCGCAGCCGGUCUCCAAGGUGCGGAGCCUCUAGUC